AUUGAACGCUGGCGGCAGGCCUAACACAUGCAAGUCGAACGGUAACAGAAAGCAGCUUGCUGCUUUGCUGACGAGUGGCGGACGGGUGAGUAAUGUCUGGGAAACUGCCUGAUGGAGGGGGAUAACUACUGGAAACGGUAGCUAAUACCGCAUAACGUCGCUAGACCAAAGAGGGGGACCUUCGGGCCUCUUGCCAUCGGAUGUGCCCAGAUGGGAUUAGCUAGUAGGUGGGGUAACGGCUCACCUAGGCGACGAUCCCUAGCUGGUCUGAGAGGAUGACCAGCCACACUGGAACUGAGACACGGUCCAGACUCCUACGGGAGGCAGCAGUGGGGAAUAUUGCACAAUGGGCGCAAGCCUGAUGCAGCCAUGCCGCGUGUAUGAAGAAGGCCUUCGGGUUGUAAAGUACUUUCAGCGGGGAGGAAGGGAGUAAAGUUAAUACCUUUGCUCAUUGACGUUACCCGCAGAAGAAGCACCGGCUAACUCCGUG
rnacentral:rRNA from 1 species